CAACCCGAUUUAAUUUGAUUAAUUUAAAUUUACUUAUUUAUUUUGUAUUUAUAUAAUUUUUAAUUUAAGUAUAUUUUGUAAUUAUUGUUUAUGUAUUUUUUAGAUUAAAUAAUUUUAGUAGUAGUGAAUUAGUACAGUAGUGGAAUGUUUAAAGAUAAUAAAUUAUUAAAUAAGAAGAAUUAAUUUUUUGUACCUUUUGUAUCAGGGUUUAUUAAUAAAUUGUUAAUUAUAUUUAUUUUUCCCGAAUUUGAUAGAGUUAAUUUUUUAUUAAUUUUAUUGUUACAUAAUUAUUUUUAAUAAAAUUUUAGUGAUUAGAUGUCAGUCGUUAUCAAAUAUAUCUGGUUCUUUAAGACUUAAAUUUAAUUUAUUUAUUUAAAUUUUAUAAAUUAUAAUUUAUUUUAUUUUUGUUAAUUUUAAAUAAAGAAAAUUUUAGGGGUAAGCUUAGAAUUUUUAUCUAUAAUUGUUAUUUAUAUCUUUAUAAUUAGUAGGGUUAGAAAUUUUUAUCUUUUUAAAGAAUGUUAUAAUAAAUUUUUUAAGAUUUAGUAUUUAUUUUUAAUUUAGAUUUUUUAUUAAAGUUUUUUAAUUAAUUUUUUUUAAUUGUAAUAAUGAUAAAAUUAGUAUUAUUUUUAAUUUAAAUAAAAGUUUUAUUUAGAUAAUAUUAAGGAAUUCAGCAAUAUUAUACCCGCCUGUUUAUCAAAAACAUGUCUUUUUGUUAAAAAUAGAAAGUCUAACCUGCCCACUGAUUAAUUGAAGGGCCGCAGUAUAUUGACUGUGCAAAGGUAGCAUAAUCAUUUGCCUUUUAAUUGAAGGCUGGAAUGAAUGGUUGAACGAGGUGUAACCUGUCUCAUUAUUAAAAAUUAAUAAAUUAAUUUUUCAGUAAGAAAGCUGAAAUUUAUUUGGAGGACGAGAAGACCCUAUAGAGCUUUAUAAUUAUUUAAUAAAAUUUAUUUAGAUAAAAAUUUUUUGUUUAUUAAAAAUAUUAUUUUGUUGGGGUGAUAGAAAGAUUAAUUUAACUCUUUUGUUUAAUAAACAUAAAUUGAUGAUUAUUUGAUCCGGUAUUACUGAUUUUUAGAAUAAGUUACCUUAGGGAUAACAGCGUAAUUUUGUUGGAGAGUUCAUAUUGAUAACAGAGAUUGCGACCUCGAUGUUGAAUUAAAGAAAUUUUUUAGUGCAGAAGCUAAGAUAAUAGGUCUGUUCGACCUUUAAAUCUUUACAUGAUUUGAGUUCAGACCGGCGUGAGCCAGGUCGGUUUCUAUCCUUAAUUAAUUACUUUGAUUUAGUACGAAAGGACCAAUCAUAAAAAUAAAAUUUUUUAUUGUGAAUAAAAUUAAUUUUGGUUACUUUGGCAGAUUAGUGCAUUGGGUUUAGAAUUCAAU
rnacentral:rRNA from 1 species